rnacentral:tRNA from 1 species
GGUGCUAUGGCUCAGUGGCUGAGCAGUGUACUGUUAAUGCAUGGCCUAUGCCUAGGUAGGUUCGAUUCCUACUAGCACCU